AUUGAACGCUGGCGGCAGGCCUAACACAUGCAAGUCGAACGAGCGGCGGACGGGUGAGUAAUGUCUGGGACACUGCCUGAUGGAGGGGGAUAACUACUGGAAACGGUAGCUAAUCCCGCAUACCAUCAGAUGUGCCCAGAUGGGAUUAGCUUGUUGGUGGGGUAAUGGCUCACCAAGGCGACGAUCCCUAGCUGGUCUGAGAGGAUGACCAGCCACACUGGAACUGAGACACGGUCCAGACUCUUACGGGAGGCAGCAGUGGGGAAUAUUGCACAAUGGGCGCAAGCCGGAUGCAGCCAUGCCGCGUGUAUGAAUAAGGCCUUCGGGUUGUAAAGUACUUUCAGCGAGGAGGCGUUACCCGCAGAAGAAGCACCGGCUAACUCCGUGCCAGCAGCCGCGGUAAUUC
rnacentral:rRNA from 1 species